rnacentral:tRNA from 1 species
GUAAACAUAGUUUAAACAAAACACUAGAUUGUGAAUCUAGAAAUAGAAGAUAAACCCUUCUUGUCUACC